rnacentral:lncRNA from 10 species
GUCUUUCAGGAUGAAUGCCAUCCACACAAAAGAGCUCCUGUUGACAUCUCAUUUACAAUCUCCCCCAGGACACAGACAAGACCCUUUCAAUAAAUCCAGCUCAGAAACACCUAUUGUUCAAAAUCUUCAACUCGCCACAGGCUACCACCACUCCCUAUGGCUUUGCAAAAUUAAAGAUUUAGAAGAAGGAUGGGGCGGUGGAAGCUAUGAAAAGAGGCAGGAAAAAAGUUCCUUUGACCCGAUGCUGUCAGAGAGCGUGCAUGAAGAAGAAAGUUAAUGGUAUUUCCAUUUAUAUAAGAAGCGCCUAAGAAAUGCCUGUGACGUUCGUGAACUAGUGAUUGUGAAUUCCAAAUUUGAUGCCAACUUUAUGUGUAAAGAAGCUAACUCCUGCCAACAUCGUGGCUGAAUGAACAGCUGGGACUAUGCUUAACCCAUUCCCAGCUUAUAAAAGCCCCAUGGCAGCUGCAGUGAAGCAUCAGAAAAGUAUAGUAAGAAGAAACUGAAUUUGAAGUGGAUUCUUACAAAGGAAAAAGAAAAUCACUAUUGUAACUAUACCAAAUUACUAUAUUAUGUGAUGCAACAAAAUUCAAAUAUGAAAACCAUCUCGGAGGCCGGGCGCGGUGGCUCACGCCUUUAAUCCCAGCACUUUGGGAGGCCGAGGUGGGUGGAUCAUUUGAGGUCAGAAGUUCAAGACCAGCCUGGCCAACACGGUGAAACCCUGUCUCUACUAAAAAUACAAAAAUUAACUGGGCGUGGUGGCACAUGCCUGUAAUCCCAGCUACUCGGGAGGCUGAGGCAGGAGAAUUGCUUGAACCUGGGAGGCGGAGGUUGCAGUGAGCCGAGAUCACGCCAUUGUUCUCCAGCCUGGGCAACAAGAGCAAAACUCUGUCUCAAAAAUAAAAUAAAAAAUUGCUUUAAAAAAU